rnacentral:tRNA from 1 species
GACAGUGUAGCUCAGUUUGGUUAGAGCGCGGUGCUGAUAACGCCGAGGUCGUGGGUUCGAACCCCAUCUCUGUCA